GCAGUCGUUGCACAGGUUGAGGCGGCAGGUGACACAGCGCUUGUAGGCGAUGCGACGGCUGCGGCACACUUGGCAGAGGAUGGGCCCCGAGGACCGGUCAAAGCGCCACUUGAGAAGCAGAUUCAGGCUCCACAUGUUCUAGCUGCUUUCUAGACAAGAAUAAGAGAAACAACAGAUUGACUCUAUUCUCACUAACAAGAUCCCAAGUCCUGUCAUGGCCUGUGCUACCUUCUUACCCAGAUUGCGGUCCCUGGAUAUCACCAAGAGCAAGCUGGGCUUUAUGGAAGAAUGGGUGACUUCAGAUCUGGGCAAGCACACAGUAAACAUGGAUCUACCUCUGAUAACAUUCCCCUCAGAGCUAGUUUCAUUUUGGUAGAGAGCACACAAUGGGGGUGGAGGGGUGGGGCAGCAAGCUGGUAUGGCCAGGGCAAGUGACAGCUCAGGAGGGAAGGAACGAGACCCAACGAGUAUGUGUAGUGGUGCUGAGGUGUGAUGCCCAGGGACCUGAGUAGGACUGAGGCACCCGGUUCCUCCACUAACCUGGAGAGCCAACUAUUCACAGAUCAGCUGACUCUUUUGAGAACUUGCUUGCAGUGAGGAGAAGCAUCCUCAUCUAAGAUUAUGCCCCUCUUUAAAUAGCUUCCCUGAUUACAGUGGGACAAUUUUAAAGGAUUAUCCCAGUUGCCAAAGAGGUCCUGUUGGAUUGGCUGAGGUUGAUAACUUUGAUUAUAUUACAAUUUGUCUUUUAUUCCUGCUGAGUCCUAUUUAUUUCAGUCCCUAUGAUGGUCUGAAAGAGAAAUGUCUCCCAUAGCUUAGGUAUUUGAAUAUUUGGACUUCUGUUGAUCACAUAGUAUGACAUUAUAGAACUUUUAGGAAGUAGUCUUUCUGAAGGAAGUGCCUCACUGAGGGCAGAGCUUAUGGGAUUCUAGUCUUGCCAAAUCUAGAUGACUCUCUCUGCUUUGUGUUUGCUGGCAAAGAUGUGAUGCCUCAGCUUCCUGAUUCUGCCACCUGUGUCCAUGCCUUCCUUCCCUGCCAUGGUGGAUGCUCUCUCUGGAAUGUAAGCCCAAAUAAACUCUUUCUUUUGUAA